rnacentral:rRNA from 2 species
GGAUCCAGACUUUGAUCCUGGCUCCCGAUGAACGCUAGCUACAGGCUUAACACAUGCAAGUCGAGGGGCAGCGGGAUUGAAGCUUGCUUCAAUUGCCGGCGACCGGCGCACGGGUGAGUAACGCGUAUCCAACCUUCCGUACACUCAGGGAUAGCCUUUCGAAAGAAAGAUUAAUACCUGAUGGUAUGAUGAGAUUGCAUGAUAGCAUCAUUAAAGAUUUAUCGGUGUACGAUGGGGAUGCGUUCCAUUAGGUAGUAGGCGGGGUAACGGCCCACCUAGCCGACGAUGGAUAGGGGUUCUGAGAGGAAGGUCCCCCACAUUGGAACUGAGACACGGUCCAAACUCCUACGGGAGGCAGCAGUGAGGAAUAUUGGUCAAUGGACGAGAGUCUGAACCAGCCAAGUAGCGUGAAGGAUGAAGGUCCUACGGAUUGUAAACUUCUUUUAUAAGGGAAUAAACCCUUCCACGUGUGGGAGCUUGUAUGUACCUUAUGAAUAAGCAUCGGCUAACUCCGUGCCAGCAGCCGCGGUAAUACGGAGGAUGCGAGCGUCAUCCGGAUUUAUUGGGUUUAAAGGGAGCGCAGACGGGUCGUUAAGUCAGCUGUGAAAGUUUGGGGCUCAACCUUAAAAUUGCAGUUGAUACUGGCGUCCUUGAGUGCGGUUGAGGUGUGCGGAAUUCGUGGUGUAGCGGUGAAAUGCUUAGAUAUCACGAAGAACUCCGAUUGCGAAGGCAGCACACUAAGCCGUAACUGACGUUCAUGCUCGAAAGUGUGGGUAUCAAACAGGAUUAGAUACCCUGGUAGUCCACACGGUAAACGAUGGAUACUCGCUGUUGGCGAUAUACUGUCAAGCGGCU